GAUGAACGCUAGCGGCAGGCUUAAUACAUGCAAGUCGAGGGACAGCACAGGUAGCAAUACUGGGUGGUAACCGGCAAACGGGUGCGGAACACGUACACAACCUUCCUUUAAGUGGGGGAUAGCCCAGAGAAAUUUGGAUUAAUACCCCGUAAUAUAGUUGAAUGGCAUCAUUUGAUUAUUAUAGCUACGGCGCUUAAUGAUGGGUGUGCGGCUGAUUAGAUAGUUGGCGGGGUAACGGCCCACCAAGUCUACGAUCAGUAGCUGAUGUGAGAGCAUGAUCAGCCACACGGGCACUGAGACACGGGCCCGACUCCUACGGGAGGCAGCAGUAAGGAAUAUUGGUCAAUGGACGCAAGUCUGAACCAGCCAUGCCGCGUGAAGGAUUAAGGUCCUCUGGAUUGUAAACUUCUUUUAUUUGGGACAAAAAAGGGCCUUUCUAGGUCAACUGACGGUACCAGAUGAAUAAGCACCGGCUAACUCCGUGCCAGCCGCCGCUGUAAUAC
rnacentral:rRNA from 1 species